rnacentral:rRNA from 1 species
GCCCUCAAGUGAGGAAUACCGGCGAGAAAUCGCCGACAAGACCGCAUAGCCCUGCCCGGUGAGAGCCUGGCAUGGAAAGCUUCGCAAGGAGCGCUUGAGGAGGGGCCUGCGCCCGAUUAGCUGGUUGGUGGGGUAAGAGCCUACCAAGGCCUCGAUCGGUAGCUGGUCUGAGAGGACGAGCAGCCACACUGGGAUUGAGAACGGCCCAG